rnacentral:snoRNA from 14 species
GGUCCUGAAGUGAUGACUCACAAUGUUUCUUCUCUGAUUAAUUCUUGAGGGAAAGUGUGUGUAUCUCAUCAGGCCU